UACGAAUCGUCCAAACGUUGUUCGGAUUCACUGGGUUUAAAGGGCGCGUAGGCGGUGCGUUAAGUCGGCGGUGAAAUACUUCGGCUCAACCGGAGAAUAGCCGCUGAAACUGGCGUGCUCGAGGGAGGUAGAGGUGCGUGGAACUUCCGGUGGAGCGGUGAAAUGCGUUGAUAUCGGAAGGAACACCUGUGGCGAAAGCGAUGCACUGGACCUCUUCUGACGCUGAGGCGCGAAAGCCAGGGUAGCGAACGGG
rnacentral:rRNA from 1 species